CAAUAGCGUAUAUUUAAGUUGUUGCAGUUAAAAAGCUCGUAGUUGGAUUUCGGAUGGGAUUUGCCGGUCCGUCGUUGCGAUGUGCACUGGCCAAUCCUCUCUUGUUGUCGGGGACUAGCUCCUGGGCUUCACUGUCCGGGACUAGGAGCUGACGAGGUUACUUUGAGUAAAUUAGAGUGUUCAAAGCAAGCCUACGCUCUGAAUACAUUAGCAUGGAAUAACACGAUAGGACUCUGGCUUAUCUUGUUGGUCUGUGAGACCAGAGUAAUGAUUAAGAGGGACAGUCGGGGACAUUCGUAUUUCAUUGUCAGAGGUGAAAUUCUUGGAUUUAUGAAAGACGAACUUCUGCGAAAGCAUUUGGCAAGGAUGUUUUCAUUAA
rnacentral:rRNA from 1 species